CUUUCGUCGUUCAUUCGAUUCCGCCUCCUCCGUCUAAUGCAGCCUCCUCCGUCCGUCCCUCUCGCAUUGCGGUGAUUGUAGGGGCACUUCUCAUUUGGAGAAUGGCCGUUCGUUAUGUGGACUUAUAUCGGGAGAAGGCUACCGCGGGGGACUCAAAAUGUGGUCAUACAUUCAAUGGGUAGAAUGAAAUAUGUAUAUCAAAA